GAAGAGAUGGCUCAGUGGUUAAGAGCACUGACUAUUCUUCCAGAGGUCCUGAGUUCAAUUCCCAGCAACCACA
rnacentral:tRNA from 1 species